rnacentral:SRP_RNA from 1 species
GGUCGGGGCCCUGGCAAUGGGUGCCUACGAACCCGGUCAGGUCCGGAAGGAAGCAGCCGUAAGUAGGAUGUCUCAUGUGCCGGGGUUCCCGGCCUCUU